CUUUUCAGGGAACCCAGGAUAACUCAGUGAACUUUACAUUAUCCAAUACAAAAGUUGUUCUAGCGAUUUCAGAUAUUUUACUUUUAAGUUUUAAACUAAUACCGAUUUUUACCGGUUCAAAAAACCCAAACAAAAAUUAGUUAGGAAAGUCUGGUCCCCCAAUCAUAUUCAGUCGUUAAAAAU